CUAAACUGUCAUAUGAUAUUCUCCCUCCCGUGCUUCUCUGCAUCAGUUCCUAAAGUUUAUGGUCUUUGUCCCUUUUGACAAAGGGACAUGAGUCUUUCCUCGGUGUGGGCAUGUCUCAUUGUUUAAGCUGCUGUAACGAAGAGUGAAGAUUUCAUGCCUCCUGAAUCCUGCAGCUGUGGUUUUUAUUUGCUGAAAGCCUGAAACUGAGAGUGUCUAAUUUAAUGCCCCUUUAGUAGUGUGAUCUGUGAGUUGAUUGUCGAAUUUUGGUGAUAAUGGGAGAAGAUGGUAAAAUUGAUGUACUCUCCCGUCCUUUUCUAUCUCUAUCAAUAUUAGAUUUAGGGUUACAAGUAGACCUGUCAAACGGGUCGGUCGGGUCGGGUUGUAAAAAAUUAUUUUCGGGUUCGGGUUGAAUCGGGUCGGUCACUUUCGGGUUCGGGUUUACAAAUGUUUGUUCGAGACCCAGAACAUUCGGGUUCGGGUCGACCCAACGGGUUGAGAGAUUUUAAAACGCGCAUUAUAUUUUCAUUAAUUUGGGUGCUAAAAAUACACAAUAUGGGCCCAAAUUAACAAAUUUUCCUACACAAGUUUAUAUUUAGUCAAACUCAACCAUAAAAUGACGUAUAAUUCAAAUUAAAAUCAUAUUACACACAAAAAUAGUAAAAACAACGUGUUUAUUAUGCUUAAAUUUUCUCAUAAUCUCAUUUAUUACUAUAAAUACAAUGAUUUUCAAUCGGUCGGGUCCAAAACGGGUUCGGUCGGGUUUUGACCCAUUACUUUUCGGGUUGCUCGGGUUCGGAUAACAUCGGGUUACGGGUCACAAAAUCUUGUUCAGGACCCAGUAUUUUCGGGUCGGGUUCGGGUCGAUUUUCGGGUCGGGUCCAUUUUUGACAUGUCUAGUUACAAGUGUUGUCCAAAAGUUCAACUUAGAUUCGACAUCACAAGCAUGGGUUUGGUGUUUCAAUCUAGCGAGACUGAUAAUCCCCAAACAAUCUGUUCACUCGAAUCGGAUUAGACCUAUCUGAAAUUAAAAGAAAUGAUUUCGACACAAAUUUGAAUUAUUGUGAUUGGAAUUUAACUUACCCUAUCUUUAUAUCUUGAAAUUUGAACGUGAUCCUAAUGAAUAUAAUUCUAAUUGAAAAAGACCCGUAUUCUCCUUAUGCAGUCCAUUCAAAUUGUUUUUUAAGUCAAAGUAUCUCUAUAAUAAUAAUGGAUAAUCAUUUUAAAUAUUUAAGGUAUAUUAGGGCUAUAAAUAGUCAGUCCAAUCCUCAACGUUUAAGACAAACUAAUUUCCAAUAUUGAUACUGUUAAACUUUUAACUGUGGAACUGCACUGCCCGAUAAAUGCCAUUGUUUUGGUUAAAAUCUUAUUUGUAAUCGGAGAGGCUGGAUAUCAGCAUGAUAUAUUUCUCUUUCUCUUUGCUUACUCUCUUGUUUGAAAGCCAUCUCAUAUCGGUAAAAAUUUCAUAUUCUGUAUUCUGUAAUGAUAUUUGGGUUUGGUGAACUAGACACAGUAAAGGUAACUGCAACUUGCAAAAUUUUAGCUGAUACUCUAAUCUUCAACAAUCCCAUUAGAUUGUUUAAGGGAAGUGAUAAAUUUUAUAUAGAGAAUCUAGAUAGUGAUCCCAUUUUUUACAUGUUUGAUGAUAAUUCUCCAUAGUUUUUGUUUCAUUGGUAAACAUUUGCUUGGAAAAGUCUGCAAUAGCUUUUAAUAGAAGUGCAUAACAUACACUAUUAAUUCAUUAGAAAACACUUGUAGUACAAAUUGGAAAAUCAUUCAAAUGGAGCCUCAGCUAUGCUAGUAGUAGGGCCUUAUUAAUGAAAUACGAUAAUGUAAAACACAAUAGUAAUUUUAUCAGCAGCAUGUAAUCUCCAGUUUCUGAUCUUGUGUUAGCUGGUGCUAGCGCUGAGUUCUUCUUUGUUUAGCACUUCUGUAAGCAUAAGUAAAAAGAAUAAGUACAUCCUUUAAUUCUAUAAGAAAUCAAGAUUAAGAAAUGUUUGAAUUAUAUUGGAGACAGGUUAAUCCUAUACUUACCUUCCCAUGGCCUUCAUUGUCACUCUCGCUGUCACUGCUGUCAUCACUACACUUCUUGGAUGAUUUCUUCUUGAUAAUCUUCUCACUCUUAUUAUGUCCUGAUUUGUAGACUAUGUAUUCUUCUUUCUUCUCUUCGCAGCUUGCAUGGUGUGAAGAGUGGUGGUGGGUAGCGCCAUGGUGGCCAGAGUUGUGGUGGUUGAUUCCAUGAUGGGCAGAGCCAUGUUGGCCAGAGCUAUGGUUGGCACAGCCGUGGUUGCCAGAACUAUGACCAACUUGUCCGUGGUGCCCGGAACUAUGACCGACAUGUCCGUGGUGCCCAGAACUAUGACCGACAUGUCCGUGGUGCCCAGAGCCAUGGCUGACAUGGCCUAUGUGGCCAGAGCCAUGGCUGUCAUGGCCUAUGUGGCCAGAGCCAUGGCUGGCAUGGCCGUGGUGGGUAUAGACAUGGUUGGCAUGGCCAUUGUGGCCUGCCAUGUUGUGCCCAACUUGGUUUGUUGCACACCCAACUGCUUUGUGGACCCCUUGCUUGUGAUCUGACGAGUUGCAACCUUGAGAAACAUUGCUGCACUUCAUCUUCUUUUCAGCUUCGCUCCUGGACAUCUGCAUGCAAGCCAUGAUGACUGGUAGUUGGGCAGUGGGUUCUUGAGAUUUUAGUGUAUAGGAGGAGGUUUUUAAUUUUGGCUGAGCUUGAUGAUCAAAGACAAGGCAUAAAACUAGCUCUUCUAUCUGUCAAGCUCCGAAUUUGAAUAACAUGGUGGUGCAUGCAAAACUUUUACAUCAGAUGGUUAUUUUUCUGCAAGUUGGAUUCUUUUGACGUCUACCACUUGAGGACUCGAGGAACUCAUGUGCAGUGCUAGUUUAGCAAAUCUGCAGGACUGGGAAAGAGUGCUUCAAAAGAAAAGUAGGUGACAAAUUUAUCAAAGAAAAAAGUUCAGGCUUCAGAGGCCGAAGCUGGUCACGUAGACGGCUGGAACACAUACUCUCCCUAGUCAUUCACCCAAAUAAAGCCCUCCUUAACAACCUCUGCAGCUCCAUCAUGAUGGUGGUGCUCCUACCUAGGGAUGCUGUGGGCCUUGUACACAACAUUGUUCACCUGCCAUUCCAGUCUCAACCAUGAUGUAUCCAGAUCCCAGAACAUGAAUCAUAAGGGCCAUCAGGAUAUUUUGAAUUGCUUUUCUGGUGCUUGUUAUAAUUAUCUUCACACCAAUCUCUAAAGUUAAGUUGCAGUCAAAUUCACUUUUUCAAUCAGCAUCUCAUUGAUGAGCGAUCCAAGUUGAACCAUCGUGUUGGGUGUUGCCCCCAUACAGAUAAUCUGAAAUAGGCGCUUUUUAAAAGAGUUGCGCAAGCUGCACCCACUAUCUCAGCUGCAAAGAAUCAGAACAUUGUAGCUUGCUGGAUUCUUUACAACUCUUUACCAGAUGCUGAGGACUCCCACUUCUGAUCUGUCACAAACUCACAAUUUAUGACCUAUUCUUUACUCUUGAGGUAGUAAAAGAAGCUUCAAGGCCACCUUUUCGGUCAGAUAGGUCCCACUCAGAUAGUCUGAUAUAAAAGAAGUGUGAAACCAGAACCCUUAUAAAAGAUGUUUGAAACCAGAACCCUUAUAUCUGCUGCAGAGAAUCAGAACAUUUUAGCAAGCGAUAUUCCUCACAACUCUCUUGGAUUCUCUUGGCAGGAAGGGUUGCAGAUGGAUGGUCGGGGUGUUGGUGGUGCAUUAUACGGUUUGAUGUGUGAAGGCAGCAAGCUGCUGAUUCUCUCAUUCAGAGAUGAGACAUGCCAGUUCAUGAUCUUGUGUCAUAGAACUGGUUUCGCUUUCAGAAGGUAGCUUGCUUUUUAAGGUGCACAAUUACAGGUAAUUAUUUUCGUUGUUCUCCACCGUUGUCAUUUCUAUAUUCUUGUAUAUUGCUUGAGAAUUGAGAAUUUGAGAUAUGUAAAGUAGGGAAGUGAUUUUGGCACACCCAUUGUGAGAGCACAACUGUGCACUUCUUACAGAGAGGUGUGCAAAAAUCAACAAAGUGAUCUUCUGUUUUCUAAAAGCAAACACCAUGUAUUAUAAUUUCAUUAGAAAACCAUAUACAUUCAAACAAAAUACAGUACAAGAUAACAAAGCACACAUCGUAUCGAAUGGCCCUUAACGACUAGCCUAUUAUAAGAGGCUAACAGAGGCCAUUUUAUUAUACUAAAUUAAUUAAUACCAUGGUUGCUGUCAAUUCUCUGUUCUGGAUCAUGCAGGUACCAACCCUCAGUACCUCUGCAAUACAUAAACGAGACAUGAAAGGGCAAGUUAGCUGAUAGGAUUAUGAUACAGGAUGGAAAACAAAUUGGACUCCGUACAAAUAAUAAAAUGUUAAAAAACUUUCAGAAACAGAGGACACUGAAAAUAAAGGGGUACGGUGUAUAAGCUAAAAAACACGUACCCUGUGGUAGCCAGGGAGGUUAUCAGCCACGAGGCCAGUUAUGGAAUUUCCCAAUGCGUUGGGGCGGGCGUGGCGGCCAGGGAUGAUAUCAGUCACAAUCCCAGUUACGGAAUUUCCGAAUGCGUCAGGGGAGGCGUGGGUGCCAGGAAUGACAUCAGUAACAAUCUCAGUUACUGAAUUUCCCAAUCCAUCGCGGCGGUAGUAGACGCGGUUCCCGUAUUCAUCAAUCCUGUAAUCAGCA